GGAGAUGAAUCAUAGUCACACUAGAAAAAUUUUUGAAAUUAUCGAUGGAUUUUACCGAUGAAUUGAUUACUUGAAGAAUUUUUCCAUCGUUAAAAUUAUAUUUACCGACAAAAAAAUUCUUUAGUUCGUCGAUAAUACAUAUUUCAUUUGUCGAUGAAAAAAUUCAUUAGUAAAUUUUUCAAUAAUGCAUAUUUCACUUACCGAC
rnacentral:lncRNA from 1 species